CAGAGUUUUUGAUGCGGAAGGAUUUGGUUUUAUAGAACCUGGAGAAUUAAGGAAUGUAUUUGCGGCUCUACCAAUGAAGAUGUCUGAUGAAGAGAUUGAUAUAAUGCUGAGAGCAGCGGAUAUAAAUGGAGAUAAACGGAUUGAUCUUCAUGAGUUCGGGUUGAUGUGUGGAUACUCAAACAUGAACACAAAUCCAUCUAAACCAACCAUGUAGUUAACUACACUCUAAUCCAUGGUUCAUUUAAAGUACCGGGCCGAUUACUAAGCAGCUGGAACUAACUGUACCUUACAAAUACAGACAAAGCGGGACGGUAAACCGAAUGAAUCAUCCUCUUCCAUGGGGAUUCUAAUUAUUUAACUCAACUCAUUAGUACCAAUUGGGUAUAUACUUUUUUUUAAUAUUUCAGGGCAAAGAUUUAAACCAAUUUUUAGAGGACUUUUAAACGAAUUGUUAGCGUAAUUUCCGUUUAUCCUCAAUGCAUCGAUAGAAUUAAAGCCGUAUUCACAGCAGUAUCUUUAAAGCCUUUAUCUGAUGAAUAAUGUGGAAGAUUUGUCUAGGUUUACGUGUAAUUCUAAAGCAGUCGAUUUUUUAGAAAUAAGAUUUGUAAAAACCAUGUUUUCAAAUUUAGACAGUGUACACAUUGAUACAUAAUUCAUACUAGCUUAGACAAAGCAUUUAAGGGUAUCGUUGUGGAUUUGGCAUUGAGGGCCCCUUGAAAUAGCGUUUAUGGAUUAGAAAGGUGAAUAGUUUUUUUUUACAAAUCUUUAAAAUUUAGGUUUGAAAUUAGGGCCUUCACUAUCGACAAAUUUUACUUAUAAUUUUGGAAACAUUUUAUUUUAACUAAUAUUCUUAUCAUUGGUGGCGAAAAAGUUUGUUUCCUCGCCGUUCCCUACCUAGAAAUUCAUGGCUUAUUUCUUUGUCAAAAAAAUGAACAAAAUUUAAUACUUGCUUUAAAUUUAUUCUAUUAACUUUUUAACAAAACCAGUAUAUCAUUUUUCAAAUGUAAUGUCACAACGGAAACAUAUUUCACUUUGAGUUUUAACACUUU